ensembl:lncRNA LINC00301 long intergenic non-protein coding RNA 301
AGAACCCCGCGAGGCAGGGUGAGGGGCGCCACCGAGGAAGCGCCCACCGGGCUCCCGGGGCUGCCAGGCCCCAAAUUGAGGAAGUUGACUGCCAGAUCACACUCUGUUGGCCCACGCAGAUAGAUUCCAUUCAUCCUUUCUAAUGUCUACACCAUAUUUUGGAUAACAUGCCAUCAUCUCACAUUGUGUUGAAAGAAGAAACCAGAAUGUUGGGGUUGAUGUAUGCCAUAUGGAUGAAUUUAAACAGUUUCGGCCUUGCAAUAAUUGGUAUACUUCUAAUUGCAUGUGAAAUUAUACUCUUUUUAACGAAAGAUGAAACUAUUCAGUGGCCACAUGUACCCAGUAACAGAGGGAGCAAAGCAAAUCUUAUCCUCAAAGAACUGCAGCUGCUUGUUAGAUCUACCUGGUGGUUCCAUAGAGAAACUGCUCAGAGAACCUGCCUUUACCUCGCCUAAAACAGAACUAUCCCGGAGCUCAGCAAAGGAGUCCAUUCAUCCUCUAUAACUGCUAUACAAUAUCUCUGUUAAAAUGCUGAGAAGAUUUAUCCUAAAAGAAGGCACCAAAGCAAUGGGGGCUGUGCAAAUAAUGAUUGGCCUGAUUCACAGUGCACUGGGAACUCUCUGAAUUCAUUGGAUUUUGCUAAGAGAGGAUUCAAGUGGUUCUGGUCCUAUCCCUAUAAUUGCUGUAGUAAUUUACUCAUUUUUGUCAUUAUUUUUUUUCAUCAACUCAGGAUCCAGUAGUGUAAUACAGAAGCCUGUUACGAGAUAUAAGGCACUUUGCCCUCGGAAAUCUCACUGUCGGAAUCCUUGGAAAUCACACCACGCACAACUUCUAUUUCUUCAUAAUUUGCAAAGAACCAGUGUGACUCCAGUCAAGAACAAAAGAUUAAUUGUGAAUUAGCGAAGAACUCUAAUUUUUUCAAGCAGCCACAUGGAAAACGCAUUCUAAUGAAAUCCUUUCCAUUGCUCUUUUUUCUUAGUUCUUCAAUAAAGCAUGCGAUUUGAUCACAAAUUGACUCUUCCCUUUUUAAAAGCCAGUAUGGGUUAACACGGAUAAAUAUAGCCCCUGCAAUCCCUGUGGUUGAAGGGAUGUAGGAGAGUAGUGUUGAAUGCCCACUUUAUCUUAGGUU